CAGUCGCCGCGGUAAUACGAAGGGUGCAAGCGUUGUCCGGAAUUAUUGGGCGUAAAGAGCUUGUAGGUGGUUUGUCGCGUCUGCUGUGAAAAUCCGAGGCUCAACCUCGGGCUUGCAGUGGGUACGGGCAGACUAGAGUGUGGUAGGGGAGACUGGAAUUCCUGGUGUAGCGGUGGAAUGCGCAGAUAUCAGGAGGAACACCGAUGGCGAAGGCAGGUCUCUGGGCCAUUACUGACACUGAGAAGCGAAAGCAUGGGGAGCGAACAGGAUUAGAUACCCCUGUAGUCCCUGUCUCUUAUAC
rnacentral:rRNA from 1 species